GCUAUUGGUCCCAAUUUAUGCUAAUUAGGGUUUGAAAAACAGUAACGCCCCAAACCCAUUCUGGGUUUUCCUCACUUUCAUUUUCUGUAUGCUUUGGGGAACCAGAGGUUCAAGUCAUUGAAUUGUGCAUGCUCUUGGUGUGUUUGGAACUGCAGGGCUGUGUGGAGUGUGCUUCUGCAGUGGGCAUCACCCAUGUGUGCAGGCGGGGCUCUUGCAGGGUGAUGGAUCAGCUUGCCCCAGCUCACCUCAGUGCUGACGGAUGCUCCAACUUACGUGGUCCAUCACUCUCCUGUUUGCUGGAACUUGUUGUCAGUGACCAGUAGGAUGACUGUCUAGCUUGGCAUCUGGGGAGUAAUGACAACAGGCAGAGUAUACCUUGAUGUAUUGUUAGUUGAAGUUGAAAAGGGUACCAUGACUUCUUUCCCUAGAAACCAAGCCUUGUUCACCUAUGCAGGAAGGCCUUGGCCGUGCUGAAUAUUUGUCCAGCCUGGCUAUCUAGCCUCUUCCACAGAAUCUGAAAACAGCUAUCUAAGAAAAGUGCCAUCUCCCUGGCCAAUUCUAGAAAAUACUUUAAUGGUUCAGAAGAGUGGAGACUCCAAAGCAGCUCUCCUUCUAAAUGAGACAGAAGAGAAAGGGCCAACAUUCUCCAGGAGGCAUUAAAAAAAAAAAACUUUGGGGUGCUGGGGUUGUGGCUCAGUGAUAAAGUGCUUGCCUAGCAUAUGUGAGGUCCUGAGUUCAAUCCCAACUACCACCAAAAAAGAAAAAAGGAAAGGAAAAAAAAUUGGUUUCUUUGUCUUUGACAUCCAUGGCUGACCCAGUUAUGUCACUGUGACGUAGAAUUGUCUUUGGACACAGAUAUAUUUGAGAUGACUCCAUCCUUCAGUCUCUUUUGAUGAUACCACCAUUUUGAAUCUCCUCAGCUGUCCUUUGUCUGCUAUAUCAGGAGCCUCUUCCCUAC
rnacentral:lncRNA from 1 species